rnacentral:lncRNA from 1 species
GUUUCAUUUAAAAAUCACACUAUUUUGUUCAUGACAGAAGAGUUAAAGGAACAUAUUCCAAAAUAACUGGCUGCAAAUUGAAUAAUUUUAUGCCCCCAAGUUCUUCUAAUCUACAGCUUUUAUUUCAUUUCCCUAUCAUUUCCUUCUCCACAGUUGCUGGAAAUUUCUGUUUUUUCCCCAGCAGAGGGUGCAAAAAUAUUAAACCUUGGAAGCACUGCAGAAAAGGGUAAACUUGAAAACCCUGAAAAAUAGAGGCAAAAAUAUUUGUUAACUGCUCAUGGCAUUGGACUUGAUCAUGAAGAAGGGAAAUGACAAGCACUGGUGCUCCGAGAAAAGAGACAAUUCAAUGGGACUCAAUCAGGAGAUUUUCAAGUACGUUCAACAUAAAACCAUCUUUAUCUCUUUUGGAUACAAACCACAGAAACACAAAGGACUUACUCCAGUGAAGAUAAUCCUUGGCCCUUUAAAUAUUCAAGGUAGCCAAUAACUGUCUCUUGAGAGAAGUGGAGAAGAAUGAAAACCUCUCCCCAGGAAGUCCUCUUUCACGUCUGAUUUGCCAAGGGAGCUGUCCUGGAUGCACUCCUGCUUGGCUCUGUCUGCAGGAGCUGAACGGAAGGGGGGCGGGUAUGAUUCAGGGCUGCACUUGCUCCAAACUAAUUUAACCAAGAGAACUAUUUUUUUUUUUUUACUAUGAAGGGAA